UACGAAGGGGGCUAGCGUUGUUCGGAAUUACUGGGCGUAAAGCGCACGUAGGCGGAUCGAUCAGUCAGGGGUGAAAUCCCAGGGCUCAACCCUGGAACUGCCUUUGAUACUGUCGAUCUGGAGUAUGGAAGAGGUGAGUGGAAUUCCGAGUGUAGAGGUGAAAUUCGUAGAUAUUCGGAGGAACACAAGUGGCGAAGGCGGCUCACUGGUCCAUUACUGACGCUGAGGUGCGAAAGCGUGGGGAGCAAACAGG
rnacentral:rRNA from 1 species